ensembl:lncRNA
GAAACCACCGUGAUGGUGAGUCACUUCAGCCAUACAGAAGAUUUUGGGUAUAAAAAGGAAGAAAAGAGUGCCAGAAGGAAGCAAGGACUAAGAAACUUAAACUCAAUCAACUAGAGGCCAUAGAGAACCCCAAGCCCAUUCUUCCCAUCAAGGACAAAGGAGGCCCCACAGGAAGGGGAAAAUCAAGGAGCAGAGUUCAGGGACCCAGACAGGCCUGCUUCCAUUGUGGCGCCAUGGAUCAUUGGGCUAGAUAUUGUUGCCAAACAAAGGUCAAUGACAAUUUGGUGAGUGGCGGGCAGUUCGCACUUAUCCGUGAAGUGACAUCAUCAAGAGGCAGAGGUGUACGGGGGCAUUCAGACCGACGACGGGACGCAGGAGCAGGCCAGGUCCAACGAGAGGGUCUUCGUUCGACGCACCUCCAUCCACCCCACCACCACCAGGUCGGCCUCAGUCUACUUGUCCAGGGGAAGGCUCCGCCCCUGCUAGUCCUGGCAGGAUACGCCGAGUCCGCACGUCACCCUGGAUCAGUGACGAGGCUCAUGCCAAAGAUUUACCAUGCAAAAUAUUCCCAUGUCGUUAUUUAAAUAAAUCCUGUUCAUACUUAUCGGUGAUCGAGUCUUAAUGGGAGAACAUAAAGAAGCUGG